GUCCAGGCACUCCCACUCCUCCUGACAGAAAUCUACAGCCACAUCCCUGAACAUCAUCAACUGUUGAAAGAACAAGUCCAGGUAUUAAUGUGCUCUGCCAGAUUAGGACAUAGGAGAUACUGAAAGCCCUGGUGGAUAGAUUUGGUCAUACUGGUUGGAGAAAAGAGGUAUCUAGGGAAAGCAUUGGACUGUUUCACAGUCAUUACUUAUGACGCUCAAUAGUGAUUCAAGGGCUCAUCAGAGAAGACAGAGCAAGGUGAGGGGGGAUAUCCUAGCAGAGGAAACAACAUGUGCCAGUCAAGCAAAGGUAUCUUUGUGCAUUCAAGGAACACAGAGUGAGCGGAAAGACCAGUGGCAGAUGGGGAUGUAUAAAGCGGGGAUCCUGUUAUGAAAAGCUCUAAAAGAAAUAGGCUAUAGCAUUUGGACCUUAUUUCAGAAUAAGAAAGCAUUCUGCAGUUUUAAAGUAAGGUUUAAAAAUGUUUCUAAUUAAAGAUAAAACAAAGUUGGUGUGAGAGGGUAAAGACUGAUAUACACAAUCUGAGGAGUUCAUAAAAAUUCCAUGUAAAGCAUGUAGUAUGAAUUGGUCCUAGGAGACAGACAGCUUCAGCGGCAUAGAGAACUUUAAGAACUUUUCCAAGAGUGGCGGGCUGGAGAAUAAAUUGUGAACUAAAAUAUAUUUUGUGUUUGAGAACA